rnacentral:misc_RNA from 1 species
GCAAACUUGGUCAUUUAGAGGAAGUAAAAGUCGUAACAAGGUAACCGUAGGUGAACCUGCGGUUGGAUCAUUACAAAAUUUGGUUUUAUACCAAACCUUUGUGUGCACUUAUAUUAUGUCCCUGGUGGCCGCGGUUGUGGACGUGGACCCAAAUGGGUAUUUCGCCGCAGCGGGUCACCAAAUGGUUGUGCCAGGCCAAGUUUCUUCUUGGUCGUUUUGGACACAUCCUUUUGAACAAACUUUAAUGUAUUUAUUUGCUGUCUGAUUUGAUUCAUUUUAUGUGAAUUUAAAAACAACUUUUGACAACGGAUCUCUUGGCUCUCGCAUCGAUGAAGAACGCAGC